GAGGGUAUAGCUCAGUGAUAGAGCACAUGCUUAGCAUGCAUGAGGCCCCAGGUUCAAUUCCCAGUACCUCCA
rnacentral:tRNA from 1 species